UACGAAGGGGGCUAGCGUUGUUCGGAUUUACUGGGCGUAAAGCGCACGUAGGCGGACAUUUAAGUCAGGGGUGAAAUCCCAGAGCUCAACUCUGGAACUGCCUUUGAUACUGGGUGUCUAGAGUAUGGAAGAGGUGAGUGGAAUUCCGAGUGUAGAGGUGAAAUUCGUAGAUAUUCGGAGGAACACCAGUGGCGAAGGCGGCUCACUGGUCCAUUACUGACGCUGAGGUGCGAAAGCGUGGGGAGCAAACAGG
rnacentral:rRNA from 1 species